rnacentral:rRNA from 1 species
UACGUAGGGGGCAAGCGUUGUCCGGAAUCAUUGGGCGUAAAGAGCUCGUAGGCGGUUUGUUGCGUCGGCUGUGAAAUCCCGAGGCUCAACCUCGGGUCUGCAGUCGAUACGAGCAAACUAGAGUGUUGCAGGGGAGACUGGAAUUCCUGGUGUAGCGGUGAAAUGCGCAGAUAUCAGGAGGAACACCGGUGGCGAAGGCGGCAUCCUGGACCAAUUCUGACGCUGAGGAGCGAAAGCCAGGGGAGCAAACGGG